rnacentral:rRNA from 1 species
CAGCCGCCGCGGUAAUACAGAGGGUGCGAGCGUUAAUCGGAUUUACUGGGCGUAAAGCGUGCGUAGGCGGCUUUUUAAGUCGGAUGUGAAAUCCCUGAGCUUAACUUAGGAAUUGCAUUCGAUACUGGGAAGCUAGAGUAUGGGAGAGGAUGGUAGAAUUCCAGGUGUAGCGGUGAAAUGCGUAGAGAUCUGGAGGAAUACCGAUGGCGAAGGCAGCCAUCUGGCCUAAUACUGACGCUGAGGUACGAAAGCAUGGGGAGCAAACAGUAUUAGAUACCCCCGUAGUCCCUGUCUCUUAUAC